rnacentral:rRNA from 1 species
GAUGAACGCUGGCGGCGUGCCUAAUACAUGCAAGUCGAGCGAACGGACGAGAAGCUUGCUUCUCUGAUGUUAGCGGCGGACGGGUGAGUAACACGUGGAUAACCUACCUAUAAGACUGUGAUAACUUCGGGAAACCGGUGCUACUACCGGAUAAUAUUUUGAACCGCAUGGUUCCAAAGUGAAAGACGGUCUUGCUGUCACUUAUAGAUGGAUUCACGCUGGAUUAGCUAGUUGGUAAGGUAACGGCUUACCAAGGCAACGAUGAAUAGCCGACCUGAGAGGAUGACCGGCCACACUGGAACUGAGACACGGCCCAGACUCCUACGGGAGGCAGCAGUAGGGAAUCUUCGGCAAUGGGCGAAAGCCUGACGGAGCAACGCCGCGUGAGUGAUGAAGGUCUUCGGAUCGUAAAACUCUGUUAUUAGGGAAGAACAUAUGUGUAAGUAACUGUGCACAUCUUGACGGUACCGAAUCAGAAAGCCACGGCUAACUACGUG